UAACCUUAUAAAAAGACACAACUCUUAGAACGGUAAAAAUGAUGUCAUCCAACUUUAACUAUGUUUUAGGGUGAUAAGAAUUGAGUAUUAAGUUUCAUAACAUUUCUUUGAGGCAAACUAAAGUUGGAUGAAAACUAUUUUUUAACGUAUGCAUGUAGACUGACAAAGGUAACUGCUGUGACGAGGAAAUAAAAACUUGUAACAGGGUUCACCUUGUGUAAGAUGCUGUGCUAGCCUCAAUAUUUAUGUAUAUUGCCCAGCUGAUGUUGCCAAAAACAUUACCAGCAUGCAAGUUUUAUUGCCAAGAUAAUUGUUCCAAGAUAUUUACUGAAAUGCCCAUUUCAAUUAUGACAUGCAUCACACUUUCUUUUCCAUAAUUUGGAAGUCAGUAUGAGUUUUGUUCAAUGUUGAAGACCAUAAGGUAACCUGUAGUUAUAAUUUCUACUUCAUUUGGUCUUUGGCAGAGAGUUGUAUCAUGGUAGGCAAUCAUACCACAUCCUCAUAUUUUUAUACCAAGUUUUGAAAUACAUGUACUCUCCUGACUAGUGUGCCAAUUAUGCAACAGAGUAAAUUUUCUAAUUGCUAAAGGUAUGUUUUUAAUUAAGUAAAGUGUUAUAAAUUCGUAAAAGAUCUAUGACUUGUAUUUAUAAAGUAUGCAUUAUUUAAAAUUGACCCCUGUCAAUGUUUAUCAACUUUUGCUGAUUAGAACUAUUCACCAAAGACCAACUGUCUAACACAAAUUUCUGUUCUAUAGUAAAGUAAAAACCUGCAAGGUCUAUAGAUAAGACAUUAAUCAGGCUAUGGAUUUAGAUAUUUAUCAAAGACCUAAAUUUUAUUUUCACUUUGAACACUGCUUUUCAGAGAAAAAAAAGAUAAAAUUACUAAUUAGUUUAAGGGCAGAGAAAAAAUAAAUUAAAAAAGAAUGUGUCUAAGGACAUGAAUGCUCAAGCUUUGCAAUUUCAAAAAGGCUCACUCCCAAAAUUUGAACUCUGUACGUCAGCAAGUUGUUUUGAUUCUCAGGAAUUGUAAGCAUGGUAAGGCCAAAUAAAAAAGUAUUUGUGGUUCCAGUUACAGCUGAAAAAAAGUUAGGGUAGGUAGGUAGGCAUUUUUUUUUAUUUUAUGGGUUUUUUUUUACAUUGAGUCUAUGGGAGCAAUGUUCCGACUUUAACAGUGCUUAAUGAAAAAUGACAAUAAAAUCUUUAGGGUAGGCUAUUUUUAAGCCGAAAAAGUAGGGACGGUAGGGUUACUGGAACCACAAAUAUAUUUUUAUUUGGCCUAAGUGAGUUUCAUAAAAUUUGCAAGAUGCAAAAUUUAGUCAAGAGUACAAUAAGGAAAAUGGGACGGACAGAGAUAAAGGGUAACACUUAAUGCCCCAUUUGACAAUGUUGACUAUAUCAAACGGGGCCAUCAAAAUAUAGUUCAACUUCUGUUUCUUGCUUGCCCAUCCAUCCCCAAAUAUUUAUGACUACUACUACUAUAGUAUAUUUAUGGACAUUUUGGGUUCAGCACUGUUAAGGUAGAAAUUUUUCAUUUAGCAUAUUUGAAGUCAAGAACAAUCAAUUCAUGCACAUAAUUGCUUCAUAAAUAUUUGUGUGAAAAAGAGGUUCAUUGUGCAUGCACUGCCAAAGAAGAGUUGACAUUGAAAGAAGGACUAAAAAUGAUUGUCAAUGUUAUUACAUUUCUUUUUUUCAAUUACAAAAACAUUGACAAAGAACUGAUGAC
rnacentral:lncRNA from 1 species